GACGAACGCUGGCGGCGUGCUUAACACAUGCAAGUCGAACGAAGAGCGACGGAAGCUUGCUUCUAUCAAUCUUAGUGGCGAACGGGUGAGUAACGCGUAAUCAACCUGCCCUUCAGAGGGGGACAACAGUUGGAAACGACUGCUAAUACCGCAUACGAUCUGACCUCGGCAUCGAGGAUAGAUGAAAGGUGGCCUCUACAUGUAAGCUAUCACUGAAGGAGGGGAUUGCGUCUGAUUAGCUAGUUGGAGGGGUAACGGCCCACCAAGGCGAUGAUCAGUAGCCGGUCUGAGAGGAUGAACGGCCACAUUGGGACUGAGACACGGCCCAGACUCCUACGGGAGGCAGCAGUGGGGAAUCUUCCGCAAUGGACGAAAGUCUGACGGAGCAACGCCGCGUGAGUGAUGACGGCCUUCGGGUUGUAAAGCUCUGUUAAUCGGGACGAAAGGCCUUUUUGCGAAUAGGGAGAAGGAUUGACGGUACCGGAAUAGAAAGCCACGGCUAACUACGUG
rnacentral:rRNA from 1 species